UACGGGGGAUGCGAGCGUUAUCCGGAUUUAUUGGGUUUAAAGGGCGCGUAGGCGGGACGUCAAGUCAGCGGUAAAAGACUGCAGCUAAACUGUAGCACGCCGUUGAAACUGGCGCCCUGGAGACGAGACGAGGGAGGCGGAACAAGUGAAGUAGCGGUGAAAUGCAUAGAUAUCACUUGGAACCCCGAUAGCGAAGGCAGCUUCCCAGGCUCGUUCUGACGCUGAUGCGCGAGAGCGUGGGUAGCGAACAGG
rnacentral:rRNA from 2 species